CUAUCACCUUGAAAAAAUGAAUCACUGACAAAGUGAUUGUCCUCCUCUUUCUCGUGGACAAUGAGGCAGACGGAGUGUCACAAUUGCAAGUUCCUGAGACGUGUUUUCAGAUCAGAGGAGGGAGAAAAGUGGACAGGUCUCAAUAACAGAAGAUGACUUGGUCUGAAAGUCGUGACUCCAAAAUGGCUCAGAAGAAGAGCUGGUCACCUCUGGGAGAUGCUGUCCUGUCCCGCCGUCUCACAUCACCUCUAUCGAUACUGCGAUGGCCAUCACCGUCGGUGCCUUAAGCUACUCCGCAAUCUCUCAAACGCCACCUCCUCCUCAGCUCCCAAAUCCCUUCCACAUCAUCCUUCAAUCUUCAUCCUCCUGCUCCCCUGGCUUAUCGAUUUUCUAUUUUCCCUUUUAUUCCCCUCCUCUCCCAUGUCCUCCAGCUCUCUCCAUCUUCUCAAACGCUCUUCCAACAGUUCAGCCUGUCUCUGAGGUUUUUUAAUUCCGUUUUUUAUCUCUCUCACUCUCUUACUCUGGUCAGAGUUUCUCCUCUUUGACAAGGUCGAAGCCCCAGCCACGCACGGAGCUGCUUAAGCCCUGUAGCCUUGUUAAGCCCCUGUCCCGUCCUAGGAUGGAUCGCUGCUAGUUCCUGUGUCCCAUCAGUGGUGACCUUCAGCGGGACUCUGAUGCAGUGGGAUAUCACCCAGCUUGGAAGCACCAGACGGGCCACCGCUAAGGCAAGGACGCAACCGCUGUGGAUCUAUCACACAAACAAACGGCCGCUUCCUCGUGGAGCGACGCAGGAAUACAUCAAACUCCAACACAACAGCAGGUCACUUCUGCAGGUGUUCUGCACAUCGACUCUUUCUUCACACAGGAACAAAAGAUUGGCAAUCUAAAAUUUUGUGAAAUUUGCGGAAAGGUCAUGCUUCAUCCAUAAGAUGAGUAUGUUUCAUUACUCGGAACGGAUUGGGUGGAGAGGAGACAUGGCUAUACAGCAAUAAGUAAAAAGAAAGUGAGGAGGUGGUGGGUGGAGACAUUCACCUUCAACUCCGACAAAGCAGGUUCAAGCACCAACUUAUGACACUAAUUUGCAGCUGGACGGGUAGUUUGUAUUAAACCUUAGACAAGACAUCAUUGAGUCUAAAACUUAAAAUCUUAAUCAAUAAACCAGCAUUGUUUUCUUAAAUUUCACCAUUACCAACGCAGAAAAGAGCAACAGAACACAUAAAAU